rnacentral:rRNA from 1 species
AGAACGAACGCUGGCGGCAGGCCUAACACAUGCAAGUCGAACGCUCGUAGCAAUACGAGAGUGGCAGACGGGUGAGUAACACGUGGGAACCUUCCCUAUGGUUCGGAAUAGCUCAGGGAAACUUGGGGUAAUACCGGAUAAGCCCUUCGGGGGAAAGAUUUAUCGCCAUUGGAUGGGCCCGCGUCGGAUUAGCUAGUUGGUGAGGUAACGGCUCACCAAGGCAACGAUCCGUAGCUGGUCUGAGAGGAUGAUCAGCCACACUGGGACUGAGACACGGCCCAGACUCCUACGGGAGGCAGCAGUGGGGAAUAUUGGACAAUGGGCGCAAGCCUGAUCCAGCCAUGCCGCGUGAGUGACGAAGGUCUUCGGAUUGUAAAACUCUUUUGGCGGGACGAUAAUGACGGUACCCGCAGAAUAGCCCGGACUAACUUCGUGCCAGCAGCCGC